CUCAUGACUCUAUAAGAUUGUAGAGAAUUAAGUGGUCUCUAAGGGCUCUUUCAAAUAAGAUUCUAUGCAUUCUAUUAGGAAAUUGGACCUUAUGAGUUCUGAAGUAGAUGACAUUUUGGAGAAUGAAAGGAGAGGAAGAGAGAAUCAAGCAUUUGUCUCCUGCUGCCAUGGCUCUUGGCUUCUAUAUCCUAUUCACCUCUCUCCAUCAAUGUUACCAAUAAAGCCAUUGACUCACCUAGGCUCCUCUCAUUUCUCCUACUUCUCUCCCUUUCCCCUACUUCCUGCAAGAGUCUGACUCUAUUCUCUCAAGAAGCCCUUCUGUGGGCUUCUGGUAUCUAGCAUCUGUAUGCUUUCUGAGUGACAGGACAAAUAGCUGCAGGCUUUGGCCAGGGACCAAGAGAUUCUGGUACCCACAGGAGGCAUUAUCCAUGGGGGACAGAGCCUUCUACUCUAAAUGACCAUUUGACCUAAGAUACAAUUUCUGGUUCCCAAUUACCAAAACAAUAAUAACAAUAACAAUAAUAGCACUUAUAUGUUGCUUCAGGUUUGCAAAACUCUUUACAUAUAUUAUCUCUUACAGAUAAGGAAACAGAGACUGAAGGAGUUUAAGUGUCCAGGGUUACAACAGCUAGGAAGUGUGUGAGGCUGGAUUCAAUUCCCAGUGUUACAGACUCCAAAUACAAGCCAGGCUCCCCACUGGAGGAGAAACAAAGAUGCCUACAGGCGCCUGGGUCUGUUUAGAGGACAAGUAAAAGACCAGUGUUGGUGAAUGGCAAAGUAAUUAGCCUUUGGAUGAAGAGAAGAGAACGGUGCCUAUUUUUAAGGGAAAAAAGCCAGUAUGCUCCCAGAACCUUGAUUUCUUCUUUGUUGUUGUGAAACAGAGAAAUGACUAACGGGUUGGGGAAUGGCUGAAAUUGUCAAUGGAAGAUAAGUAAAUGAGCCUCCUAUCUUGCACAUCUGACUUCUGCUUUGGAUGCCUGAAAGGUGAAGGCUGGACCAGCCUGUGGCACCAUCAUCUCCCUUUCAGGUCCCUCCAAAUUCAUAUGUAGAGUGGGAAAGAUUUGCCAAGGCAGUGAUUUCAAUUUGCUUCUUAUUUACUUAUGUCUUAAUGAACAUGAGCUAUUUCUUAAAAAGAAUAAGCUUUAACUUUCAAUUAGAGAUUGAGAAUAUAUGAGAAAGGUGUUUCCUCAUCACCAUUAUAAUCUAUUGUUCACUCUCUUGGUACCUGCAAGAUACCAUUUUCUGAUGACUCUAGAAGGAAGACAGCAGAAGCAUAGAAACAUAAUGGUUUUUGGAAGGUAUCCAUUAUAAGCUCCUAGAAUUGCCAGACACCUUAAAUCACAAGAGUUUGAUGACCAGGGCUUUGCUUGUGGCCAUGACAGCUGACAAGGCAUGAAUAAGGAUAAAAAAAGGAUAGACUAUGUAUACUAUAUGCACUGGAACUAAUAGAGACCCCACCAGGAGUGACCUUCACAGUGGGAAUGAUGCCUGGUCAACCUAUCAACAUCUAAGCCAUUUGCUCAUCCAGACAGGCAGACCUGAGAUGAGAAUGAUCAAUUGGGGCUAUACUAAUGUCAGGAUGAUAUGCACUGGUCAUGAAAUGCUGAUCCUGGAGAACUCAGCUCAUUUCCUGAUUCCUCAGAGACACCUGGACUGAGGAGGUCCCCACUGGGGUAACAAGAACAUGUACAAGUAACUGGAAUAAUAUCUGAUUAGAGGUGAGAAUGGAACUUGGAGAGAGAAGAUGGCCUGAGCUGCCUCCAACCUCCAAUCAUUGACUUGCCCUUGCCUUUAGCCAGAGCCCAGACGAUAUAAAUGGACCUCUUUGUGUUUGGAAA